rnacentral:rRNA from 1 species
UACAGGCUUAACACAUGCAAGUCGAGGGGCAGCAUGGUCUUAGCUUGCUAAGGCCGAUGGCGACCGGCGCACGGGUGAGUAACGCGUAUCCAACCUGCCUUACACUCUUGGACAGCCUUCUGAAAGGGAGAUUAAUACAAGAUGUUAUCAUGAGUAAGCAUUUUCGCAUGAUUAAAGGUUUACCGGUGUAAGAUGGGGAUGCGUUCCAUUAGAUAGUAGGCGGGGUAACGGCCCACCUAGUCUUCGAUGGAUAGGGGUUCUGAGAGGAAGGUCCCCCACAUUGGAACUGAGACACGGUCCAAACUCCUACGGGAGGCAGCAGUGAGGAAUAUUGGUCAAUGGACGAGAGUCUGAACCAGCCAAGUAGCGUGAAGGAUGAAGGUUCUAUGGAUUGUAAACUUCUUUUAUACGGGAAUAAACGAAUCCACGUGUGGAUUUUUGCAUGUACCGUAUGAAUAAGGAUCGGCUAACUCCGUGCCAGCAGCCGCAGUAAUACGGAGGAUCCGAGCGUUAUCCGGAUUUAUUGGGUUUAAAGGGAGCGUAGAUGGGUUGUUAAGUCAGUUGUGAAAGUUUGCGGCUCAACCGUAAAAUUGCAAUUGAUACUGGCAGUCUUGAGUACAGUUGAGGUAGGCGGAAUUCGUGGUGUAGCGGUGAAAUGCUUAGAUAUCACGAAGAACUCCGAUUGCGAAGGCAGCUUACUAACCUGUAACUGACAUUGAUGCUCGAAAGUGUGGGUAUCAAACAGGAUUAGAUACCCUGGUAGUCCACACGGUAAACGAUGAAUACUCGCUGUAGGCGAUAUACAGUCUGCGGCCAAGCGAAAGCAUUAAGUAUUCCACCUGGGGAGUACGCCGGCAACGGUGAAACUCAAAGGAAUUGACGGGGGCCCGCACAAGCGGAGGAACAUGUGGUUUAAUUCGAUGAUACGCGAGGAACCUUACCCGGGCUUAAAUUGCAACCGAAUAUGGCGGAAACGCUAUAGCUAGCAAUAGCGGUUGUGAAGGUGCUGCAUGGUUGUCGUCAGCUCGUGCCGUGAGGUGUCGGCUUAAGUGCCAUAACGAGCGCAACCCUUGCCGAUAGUUACUAACAGGUCAUGCUGAGGACUCUGUCGGGACUGCCAUCGUAAGAUGUGAGGAAGGUGGGGAUGACGUCAAAUCAGCACGGCCCUUACGUCCGGGGCUACACACGUGUUACAAUGGGGGGUACAGAGGGCUGCUACCACGCAAGUGGAUGCCAAUCCCAAAAACCUCUCUCAGUUCGGAUUGAAGUCUGCAACCCGACUUCAUGAAGCUGGAUUCGCUAGUAAUCGCGCAUCAGCCACGGCGCGGUGAAUACGUUCCCGGGCCUUGUACACACCGCCCGUCAAGCCAUGGGAGCCGGGGGUACCUGAAGUGCGUAACCGCAAGGAGCGCCCUAGGGUAAAACUGGUGACUGGGGCUAAGUCAUAA